rnacentral:rRNA from 1 species
GCGAACGCUGGCGGCAGGCCUAACCCCUGCCAGUCGCACGCACCUUUCGGGGUUAGUGGCGGACGGGUGAGUAACACGUGGGAACGUGCCUUUAGGUUCGGAAUAACUCAGGGAAACUUGUGCUAAUACCGAAUGUGCCCUUCGGGGGAAAGAUUUAUCGCCUUUAGAGCGGCCCGCGUCUGAUUAGCUAGUUGGUUGAGGUAAUGGCUCACCAAGGCGACGAUCAGUAGCUGGUCUGAGAGGAUGAUCAGCCACAUUGGGACUGAGACACGGCCCAAACUCCUACGGGAGGCAGCAGUGGGGAAUCUUGCGCAAUGGGCGAAAGCCUGACGCAGCCAUGCCGCGUGAAUGAUGAAGGUCUUAGGAUUGUAAAAUUCUUUCACCGGGGACGAUAAUGACGGUACCCGGAGAAGAAGCCCCGGCUAACUUCGUG